rnacentral:rRNA from 1 species
GACGAACGCUGGCGGCGUGCUUAACACAUGCAAGUCGAACGGAAAGGCCCCUUCGGGGGUACUCGAGUGGCGAACAGGUGAGUAACACGUGAGUAACCUGCCCUUGACUUCGGGAUGACUUCAGGAAACUGGGGCUAAUACCGGAUAGGAAUCCUUGCUGCAUGGUGGGGGUUGGAAAGCUUCGGCGGUUUUGGAUGGACUCGCGGCUUAUCAGCUUGUUGGUGGGGUAGUGGCUUACCAAGGCUUUGACGGGUAGCCGGCCUGAGAGGGCGACCGGCCACAUUGGGACUGAGAUACGGCCCAGACUCCUACGGGAGGCAGCAGUGGGGAAUAUUGCACAAUGGGCGGAAGCCUGAUGCAGCAACGCCGCGUGCGGGAUGACGGCCUUCGGGUUGUAAACCGCUUUCAGCCGGGGCGAAGCUUGUGGUGACGGUACCUGCAGAAGAAGCACCGGCUAACUACGUG